UGCGGCCGAUUAGGUUGUUGUCGGGGUAACGGCCCAACAAGCCGAUAAUCGGUACGGGUUGUGGGAGCAAGAGCCCGGAGUUGGAUUCUGAGACACGAAUCCAGGCCCUACGGGGCGCAGCAGGCGCGAAAACUUUACAAUGCGGGCAACCGUGAUAAGGGAACCUCGAGUGCCUGUAUAUGCAGGCUGUCCAGGUGUCUAAAACACACCUGAAGAAAGGGCCGGGCAAGACCGGUGCCAGCCGCCGCGGUAAUACCGGCGGCUCGAGUGGUGGCCGCUUUUAUUGGGCUUAAAGCGUUCGUAGCUGGGUCGUUAAGUCUCUUGGGAAAUCCGGCAGCUUAACUGUCGGGCGUCUAAGGGAUACUGGCGAUCUUGGAACCGGGAGAGGUGAGGGGUACUUCAGGGGUAGGAGUGAAAUCCUGUAAUCCUUGAGGGACCACCUGUGGCGAAGGCGCCUCACCAGAACGGCUUCGACAGUGAGGGACGAAAGCUGGGGGAGCAAACCGGAUUAGAUACCCGGGUAGUCCCAGCCGUAAACGAUGUGCGUUAGGUGUAUCGACGACCACGAGUCGUCGAGGUGCCGAAGGGAAACCGUGAAACGUACCGCCUGGGAAGUACGGUCGCAAGGCUGAAACUUAAAGGAAUUGGCGGGGGAGCACCACAACAGGUGGAGCCUGCGGUUUAAUUGGACUCAACGCCGGGAAGCUCACCGGAUAAGACAGCUGAAUGAUUGCCGGGCUGAAGACUCUGCAUGACUAGCUGAGAGGAGGUGCAUGGCCGUCGUCAGUUCGUACUGUGAAGCAUCCUGUUAAGUCAGGCAACGAGCGAGACCCACGCCAACAGUUGCCAGCAUGAUCUCCGGAUUGAUGGGGACACUGUUGGGACCGCCUCUGCUAAAGAGGAGGAAGGAAUGGGCAACGGUAGGUCAGCAUGCCCCGAAUUAUCCGGGCUACACGCGGGCUACAAUGGGCAGGACAAUGGGUAUCGACACCGAAAGGUGAAGGCAAUCUCCUAAACCUGUCCGUAGUUCGGAUUGCGGGCUGUAACUCGCCCUCAUGAAGCUGGAAUCUGUAGUAAUCGCGUCAA
rnacentral:rRNA from 1 species